UGCAAGUCGAACGCGUUGGCCCAAUUGAUUGAUGGUGCUUGCACCUGAUUGAUUUUGGUCGCCAACGAGUGGCGGACGGGUGAGUAACACGUAGGUAACCUGCCCAGAAGCGGGGGACAACAUUUGGAAACAGAUGCUAAUACCGCAUAACAACGUUGUUCGCAUGAACAACGCUUAAAAGAUGGCUUCUCGCUAUCACUUCUGGAUGGACCUGCGGUGCAUUAGCUUGUUGGUGGGGUAAUGGCCUACCAAGGCGAUGAUGCAUAGCCGAGUUGAGAGACUGAUCGGCCACAAUGGGACUGAGACACGGCCCAUACUCCUACGGGAGGCAGCAGUAGGGAAUCUUCCACAAUGGGCGCAAGCCUGAUGGAGCAACACCGCGUGAGUGAAGAAGGGUUUCGGCUCGUAAAGCUCUGUUGUUAAAGAAGAACACGUAUGAGAGUAACUGUUCAUACGUUGACGGUAUUUAACCAGAAAGUCACGGCUAACUACGUGCCAGCAGCCGCGGUAAUACGUAGGUGGCAAGCGUUAUCCGGAUUUAUUGGGCGUAAAGAGAGUGCAGGCGGUUUUCUAAGUCUGAUGUGAAAGCCUUCGGCUUAACCGGAGAAGUGCAUCGGAAACUGGAUAACUUGAGUGCAGAAGAGGGUAGUGGAACUCCAUGUGUAGCGGUGGAAUGCGUAGAUAUAUGGAAGAACACCAGUGGCGAAGGCGGCUACCUGGUCUGCAACUGACGCUGAGACUCGAAAGCAUGGGUAGCGAACAGGAUUAGAUACCCUGGUAGUCCAUGCCGUAAACGAUGAGUGCUAGGUGUUGGAGGGUUUCCGCCCUUCAGUGCCGGAGCUAACGCAUUAAGCACUCCGCCUGGGG
rnacentral:rRNA from 2 species